rnacentral:rRNA from 1 species
UAGUUUCCUACUUCAGCGGAAAAGAUUGAGCAAUUAUUGAAAGAUACACUUAGCAGAUUGGGUUAUAAAAGAAUAUAUUUUCAAAUUGGAUUACUGUAAAAAAGAGUAUCAAAGGUGUUUUUUACACCUGUAAAAAAUACUGUUGGAUGAAAGGGUAUUUUACACGAAGGUGUCUGGUUGUAAUAUGUUAAGCUUAUAGAAAAAGGGGGGUAAUAGGGUGCCAGCCCCCGCGGUUAAACCCUACACCUUUUCUAAAUUUUUAAGUAAAGAAGAGAAAGGAAAACUUAAGAAAAAAAGUUCCCUUUAUUUUGGUGAAAUAAGUAAAUUGUUGACCUUAAUUUGGGUUCUUAGAAACUUUUUUCUUAAAAGCCUGAUGUAGAGACAGGGAUUAGAGACCCCUUUAUUUAUGGUGUCUUUUAUUUGCGGGGACUAUGAACAAAACGUUUAAAAACCAAGAGGCUUGGCGGUUCGUUAAAUCCGUUUUUAGGGGAACUUGGCGGUUAAAUCGAUAUUCCUCGAAGACCUUACCUUUUUUCAUCCUAACAUACCGCCGUUGACAAUUUACCCCGAAAGGUUCUUGGUAAGUAAAAAAUAAUUAUCAAAACAGUGAGAUAAUAUUUAAAUUCAGGUAAACGUGUUGGUUAUAAAGAGGGCUUAGCUGAGUUACAGUUGUAAAACAUAUCGGAGAAAGAAACAUGAAAUUGUCUUUUAAAGAAGUACUUUUUAGUAAUUACUUUGAGUAAAGAGUAAUGAAUUGUGUUUUAACGUGCGUACAAAUCGCCCGGUAGUCUCCGCAUAAGCGCUUUUUAGCAAAAGGCGGGAUAAGCCGUAACAUAGUAAUGCUACUAUAAAGUGGUGUUGUGUAUAU